rnacentral:rRNA from 1 species
UGGGGAAUUUUGCACAAUGGGGGAAACCCUGAUGCAGCGACGCCGCGUGAUUUAGAAGGCCUUCGGGUUGUAAAAAUCUUUUCUAUGGGAAGAAAAUGAGAGUACCAUAGGAAUAAGGACCGGCUAAUUACGUGCCAGCAGCCGCGGUAAUACGUAAGGUCCGAGCGUUGUCCGGAAUCAUUGGGCGUAAAGGGUACGUAGGCGGGUAAGCAAGUUAGAAGUGAAAUCCUAUAGCUCAACUAUAGUAAGCUUUUAAAACUGCUCAUCUUGAGGUAUGGAAGGGAAAGUGGAAUUCCUAGUGUAGCGGUGAAAUGCGCAGAUAUUAGGAGGAAUACCGGUGGCGAAGGCGACUUUCUGGCCAUAACCUGACGCUGAGGUACGAAAGCGUGGGUAGCAAACAGG